GAGUUUGAUCCUGGCUCAGGAUGAACGCUGGCGGCGUGCCUAACACAUGCAAGUCGAGCGAAAGUUAGUGGAGUGGAGACUUCGGUCAAAGCAAAGCUGAUGAAAGCGGCGGACGGGUGAGUAACGCGUGGGCAACCUGCCCCAUACAAAGGGAUAGCCACUGGAAACGGUGAUUAAUACCUUAUAAGUCGGUAGUCUCGCAUGAGAGAGCCGACAAAGAUUUAUCGGUAUGGGAUGGGCCCGCGUUUGAUUAGCUAGUUGGUGAGGUAACGGCUCACCAAGGCGACGAUCAAUAGCCGACCUGAGAGGGUGAUCGGCCACACUGGAACUGAGACAC
rnacentral:rRNA from 1 species